GAGCCCUGUGCUGUCUUUUGGACAAACUUGCCCAUGAGAACAUGCCUUUGAUGCCACUCCUUCCUCCCUGGCUGUGUCCAGUCUUGCUCUCUCGGUGGUCUUCCUCCCUCUGCAAUCCAGGCCCCUUCUCCUCCUUCUGGGCUGAUGCUCAGGGCCAUGUGUGUGGGAAAGAGGGAACAUGCAGAGUUUGGCUUUGAGUGUCUGGGGCCUGGGCACCCCCUGGGGUGGGGCUGGGUGAGGUUCUCUCCUACAGAAGUUCUCCCAGGAUGAGCCCAGCAGGCAGAGAUCCCAGAUCUUGGGUCUCAACUGGUGCAGGUCCCAGGGUGAACUUGGUGCAGAGAUACAGAGGAAGCAAAGAGGAAAACAGCUAUGCACAGCGAUGCAGCUUGUCAAGGCUGGGAAGGAACAGCAGUGUUGCGGCAGGAAAACUGGCCUCUGUACUUCAUCCGGGGCUCUCCACAGGCACCAGCCUACAUGGGAAGCUGGAAAGGAGAUCAGUGCUGUUGCUCAGGGACUGGAAGCAGCAAGUGGUGCCCGAACAGGGACCAGACCAGACCUGAUUUGAUCAGAAACAAAACAGGAGAAGAAGCCCCAACAUGAGUUCUGCACGGUCAUGCCUUUUUCCCCACUGAAGCAUGCGAAAAUCCCUCCAACGACUGAAGAAUCAAACUGCAAAAUCAACUUUCCUACUUCUUCACAAACAAGGGGGAGAUGCAACUGCCCCUCGGAACAAUGUGUUCCUUAACCUAGAACCCCUGGAGGAUUUCUGCUAGUUACCAAGCACAUUUAGAUAGGGCCUUAAGAAAAACAUAUACUGGCAACAGGUCUUUGGGGAGAAGGACAAUAUACGACCGGGAAGCCGAGCAGCCAGGAACGCCUGGUCAGCUCAGGGCGGAACAAAAUACGGCCUGCUUCCCUUUUCCGUUAUUGCUCCUUUCUCUUCCCAGAAGCGCCUGUUGUUAGAUGAGUCCUUUGAAUGUGCUUGGUUAACUAUACACUUUAUCCUCCUCCUUGUUUGCCCACAAGACAUGUGACUAAUGUUCGACCUUCAUCGGUUCUUCUGUUGGCUUUUGUUUCUGUCUAAUAAAAGAGAGACUGCGGAGUUGCUCGGGUGCAACAGUCUUUUGGACUGUUGUCCCCUGCUCCCAGUCUCUUGAAACUGACUUGUUUGUGCCUAAUUCUUCUCCCGUUCGCUGACUGGAA